GUGUAAGUACGAGCCAACUAAUAAAAUGGUGAAACCGCGAAAAGCUCAUUAAAUCGGCUUUGGUUCCUUUGAUAAUGCGCAUAUGACAUUCGUUCAGUCCACCUAGUGAACUGACGAAGAUCAAUAUUAUGGAUAACUGUGGUAAUUCUAGAGCUAAUACAUGGAAGAAUUACAGUGCUGAACACGCCUCAUUGCUUGUCAAUUUGGUGUCUGUUUGCACGCUUUUACUAGAGGAAAAAGCCUUUUUUAUCGGUGCCACUGUUGCCCGUUCUAACGAGCGACUUUGUCAUACCGAAAUAAAAAAAUUGGUGUUGAAUCUGAGUAACUUGGAUGAAUCCUUGGAACGCUGUGUGUAGUUGCAGACACUUUUAGUGACUGUUCAUUGCGCAUCGGUGUCCGAGGGUUCAAAGCUGACCGCUUCAUACAGUCGUCUGAAUCCAGCGAAAGCUAUUUUCAGCGAUUGUUGCGGCGUAUCAUUCAAUUGUCUGCCUUAUCAACUGUCGAUGGUAGAUUACAUGCCUACCAUGGUUGUAACGGGUAACGGGGAAUCAGGGUUUGAUUCCGGAGAGGGAGCCUGAGAAACGGCUACCACAUCUAAGGAAGGCAGCAGGCACGCAAAUUACCCACUCCCAGCACGGGGAGGUAGUGACGAUAAAUAACGAUCCGGGACUCUAAUGAGUUUCCGUAAUCGGAAUGAGUACAGUUUAAAUCCUUUAACGAGGAACAAGUGGAGGGCAAGUCUGGUGCCAGCAGCCGCGGUAACUCCAGCUCCAUUAGUAUAUAUUAAAGUUGUUGCGUUUAAAAAGCUCGUAGUCGAAUCUUGGUCGCAUACUGGCGGCAAUUCGUAAUUUAAUUUACGUGUUGCUGUCAUUCUAUGUAUGCGACAUGCUGACUGGCGGGUUCUCCCGUUCGUACCUAUACGGUCGAAUUUCUGACAUGAACGGCGACUCAAGUCACCGUCUGUCGGGCCAGUUGUAUUACUUUGAUAAAAUUGGAGUGCUUAAAGCAAGCUCAUUUAUAUGCCUGCACAUAUUUUCAUGGAAUAAUAGAAUAUGAUCUCGGUACCGUUUUCAUUUGAAAAAGGCUUAACGAGCUGAAUAAACAUGUUUGCGUUCGAUUCUCGUGGACGAACCACCCGAAAGUUGAAUAUUGGUCGCUCGCUAAGUGUGGCAAUUUGCGCUAGUGCGUAAAUGGGCUUCCAAUGUUGUCGAUCAGGUGUUUGUCCAUCAUGCGAGUUUCGUCCGUAAAUUAUUCAGUUCUACGGUGUAC
rnacentral:rRNA from 1 species